AUAAUGGGUCAGCGACUUAUAUUCUGUAGCAAGGUUAACCGAAUAGGGGAGCCGAAGGGAAACCGAGUCUUAACUGGGCGUUAAGUUGCAGGGUAUAGACCCGAAACCCGGUGAUCUAGCCAUGGGCAGGUUGAAGGUUGGGUAACACUAACUGGAGGACCGAACCGACUAAUGUUGAAAAAUUAGCGGAUGACUUGUGGCUGGGGGUGAAAGGCCAAUCAAACCGGGAGAUAGCUGGUUCUCCCCGAAAGCUAUUUAGGUAGCGCCUCGUGAAUUCAUCUCCGGGGGUAGAGCACUGUUUCGGCAAGGGGGUCAUCCCGACUUACCAACCCGAUGCAAACUGCGAAUACCGGAGAAUGUUAUCACGGGAGACACACGGCGGGUGCUAACGUCCGUCGUGAAGAGGGAAACAACCCAGACCGCCAGCUAAGGUCCCAAAGUCAUGGUUAAGUGGGAAACGAUGUGGGAAGGCCCAGACAGCCAGGAUGUUGGCUUAGAAGCAGCCAUCAUUUAAAGAAAGCGUAAUAGCUCACUGGUCGAGUCGGCCUGCGCGGAAGAUGUAACGGGGCUAAACCAUGCACCGAAGCUGCGGCAGCGACGCUGAUGCGUUGUUGGGUAGGGGAGCGUUCUGUAAGCCUGCGAAGGUGUGCUGUGAGGCAUGCUGGAGGUAUCAGAAGUGCGAAUGCUGACAUAAGUAACGAUAAAGCGGGUGAAAAGCCCGCUCGCCGGAAGACCAAGGGUUCCUGUCCAACGUUAAUCGGGGCAGGGUGAGUCGACCCCU
rnacentral:rRNA from 1 species